rnacentral:rRNA from 1 species
UACGAAGGGGGCUAGCGUUGCUCGGAAUCACUGGGCGUAAAGGGUGCGUAGGCGGGUCUUAAGUCAGGGGUGAAAUCCUGGAGCUCAACUCCAGAACUGCCUUUGAUACUGAGGAUCUUGAGUUCGGGAGAGGUGAGUGGAACUGCGAGUGUAGAGGUGAAAUUCGUAGAUAUUCGCAAGAACACCAGUGGCGAAGGCGGCUCACUGGCUCGAUACUGACGCUGAGGUGCGAAAGCGUGGGGAGCAAACAGG